AUUGAACGCUGGCGGCAGGCCUAACACAUGCAAGUCGAGCGGCGGCGGGAAAGUAGCUUGCUACUUUUGCCGGCGAGCGGCGGACGGGUGAGUAAUGCCUGGGGAUCUGCCCAGUCGAGGGGGAUAACUACUGGAAACGGUAGCUAAUACCGCAUACGCCCUACGGGGGAAAGCAGGGGACCUUCGGGCCUUGCGCGAUUGGAUGAACCCGGGUGGGAUUAGCUAGUUGGUGAGGUAAUGGCUCACCAAGGCGACGACCCUUAGCGAGUCUGAGAGGAUGAUCAGCCACAAUGGAACUGAGACCCGGUCCAGACUCCUACGGGAGGCAGCAGUGGGGAAUAGUGCACAAUGGGGGAAACCCUGAUGCAGCCAUGCCGCGUGUGUGAAGAAGGCCUUCGGGUUGUAAAGCACUUUCAGCGAGGAGGAAAGGUUGGUAGCUAAUAACUGCCAGCUGUGACGUUACUCGCAGAAGAAGCACCGGCUAACUCCGUGCCAGCAGCCGCCGUAAGAC
rnacentral:rRNA from 1 species